rnacentral:rRNA from 1 species
AGAAUAUUCCGCAAUGGGCGAAAGCCUGACGGAGCGACGCCGCGUGCGCGAUGGAGGCCGGAAGGUUGUAAAGCGCUUUUACGGGAGAAGAAGGAGCGGGGGAAGCAAAGCCUCCGCGGCGACGGUAUCCCAUGAAUAAGGGGCGGCUAAUUACGUGCCAGCAGCCGCGGUAACACGUAAGCCCCGAGCGUUGUUCGGAAUUAUUGGGCGUAAAGGGCGCGCAGGCGGCCGAGCAAGUCUGGAGUGAAAUCCCCGGGCCCAACCCGGGAACUGCUUUGGAAACUGCUUGGCUGGAGUCGCCGAAGGGAAGCCGGAAUUCCUGGUGUAGGGGUGAAAUCUGUAGAUAUCAGGAAGAACACCGAUGGCGAAGGCAGGCUUCCGGCGGACGACUGACGCUGAGGCGCGAAGGCGCGGGGAGCAAACA